rnacentral:rRNA from 1 species
GACAGAGGGUGCAAGCGUUGUUCGGAAUUAUUGGGCGUAAAGGGCGCGUAGGUGGCAUUGUAAGUCAACUGUGAAAGCCCAGGGCUUAACCCUGGAAGUGCAGCUGAUACUGCAAAGCUUGAGUCCCGGAGAGGGUGGUGGAAUUCCCAGUGUAGAGGUGAAAUUCGUAGAUAUUGGGAGGAACACCGGUGGCGAAGGCGACCACCUGGACGGAGACUGACACUGAGGCGCGAAAGCGUGGGGAGCAAACAGGAUUAGAUACCCUGGUAGUCCACGCUGUAAACGAUGGGUACUAGGUGUUGCGGGUAUUGACCCCUGCAGUGCCGUAGCUAACGCAUUAAGUACCCCGCCUGGGAAGUACGGCCGCAAGGCUAAA